CGUUCGCGCUGCCACCCGCGACCCCGCGGCCGCCAGCGCUGCGGGGCGGCCGGUGCGGAACAGGCCGGAAACGUGCGGGUGGGCUCGGGGUGGCCGGGAUCUCCCCGUUCAGCUCGUCCAUGGCGGUGACCUCCCGUCACCCGUGACCGAGCCCGGGCUCUGGAAGGGGACGGCCCCGGGCCUGGGUCUGAGCGAAUCUUGAACCCAGGCCGCCAGCGGGGUAGCUCCCUCCCGAAGGGGAGACCCUGCGUGUCCUUAGCAAUGGUGACAGCCCAGUCGGGCGCUCCAGCGUUCCCUGGAAGGAGAGACUGUGGCCUCGGAGCACAGCGAGAGACACUAGCGGAAAAUGGUGUGGAACUAAGCAGCCCUGCAAAACCAGCCUGCAACGAAAACUUACAGAGGAAAAAUUAGCAUUUGUGUAAUGUACAACCAGAUGUGGUAGGAUCUCACUCAUAUUUAUAAUUAGGAAGUCAUUCACAUUAAAUAACUUUUUCUCAUUCGCUGAUCUGUGAAAUGCUGCUGAGAUAAUUUUCAGACUUCAUUAUAAAAUUUGUCCACUCCUGACAAAUGUCCUCCAUGGAGAAUUCAGCUCCACCAUAUUCCAGAGGAAGAAUGUCUGGGAAAUGCUGAAGUGAUUCUCAGCAAAAUAUCUAACAUCCUGAGACUGUUCUAGAGAUGAUAAAAAUAUACUACCUGGUAUUCAUUUGUAUGAAUUAAAAGCAUAUAUCUGCACAUAUAGCUAUGUAUAUGGUGAGUAAUUUAUGUAGUACAGCUGAUGGAUACUCUUGGCUAGUACAGAAUUAAGAGACAAUUAUGAUGGUUGAGAACCUUAAAUUUUCAAAUACUGUAAUCUAUAAAAAUUGAUCAUAUAAUGCCAAGAGGUUAAAAUAAAGACCUAGAACUUUCAGCUAAAAGUACAUCUUGCUAAAAAUAAAUAAGUGCCCUCCUUCCAACGGCUAGGGCAAAAUGUUCAUCUAUAUAUUCAAUGAUUAUUUAAAAGCAGUUACUAUAUGCUAGAAUAUGACAAUUGAAAGAUGAAUGAAACAAGGUUCCUGUUCUCGAGAACCUCACAGUCCCAAUUCUUGAUUUCUUCUGAAAUGUUUAAAAGAUCAUCAACUAAUUGAAAAAAAAAAUUCCACUAUCUCCUCAGAAAGAACAUUCACAGGAUAGUGCCAAAAUGUUGAAAGGGAAGAGAAUGGACUGGUUCCCCUGCUCCCUUAUUUUGACAAAUCUCUUUCAUGUCAAUUACCUUUUGCUGAAACGCUUCACCUGCCUUCUCAAUUUUUUAUUUUUCCUUCUUUUCUGCUUAUAUUCUAUUAAUUUAGAUUCCAUUUGUUUUUGUUUUUAUUUGUCCAGAAUGUAACCCAAAAUAGAAAUAACUUAUUUUUAGAUCUUUCAGAGUUAAAUAAAAUGUGGUCAGCUAUUAUCAAGCUACACUGCAGAGAGAGACAAAACUAAAGCCCCCCAAAAACUGACUUUUCCAAAAACACUAGAAUGAAGAGUGGCCAUUUUCAUAGGUGUGGUUUUUCUUAAAAACAGAUAGAAAUUCCUACUGGAUAACCUCUUCCAAUUAUCCUUUACAGAUUAAUGUAGAAGAGGGGCUGCCAUUCUUGGGAAUUCAGAUUUUACUUCGAAAAAUCCUAAGAGAUAUUAGAUAUCCACCGGAGAUAAGGCUCCACACGAUAUGUAAAAACAAAAACCAAAAAACCCCAUCAGGGGCAGCCCGGGUGGCUCAGCAGUUUGGCACCACCUUCGGUCCGGGACCUGAUCCUGGAGACCUGGGAUCGAGUCCCACAUCCA